CAGCAGCCGCGGUAAUACGUAGGGUGCGAGCGUUAAUCGGAAUUACUGGGCGUAAAGCGUGCGCAGGCGGUUGUGUAAGACAGGUGUGAAAUCCCCGGGCUUAACCUGGGAACUGCGCUUGUGACUGCACAGCUAGAGUAUGGCAGAGGGGGGUGGAAUUCCACGUGUAGCAGUGAAAUGCGUAGAGAUGUGGAGGGACACCGAUGGCGAAGGCAGCCCCCUGGGCCAAUACUGACGCUCAUGCACGAAAGCGUGGGGAGCAAACAGGAUUAGAUACCCCGGUAGUCCCUGUCUCUUAUAC
rnacentral:rRNA from 1 species